rnacentral:tRNA from 1 species
GGUGAAGUAGCUCAGUCUGGUUAGAGCACUACACUAUUAAUGUAGGUUGAAAAUAGACUUAAAAUCUAUUUUUUAUUA